AGAACGAACGCUGGCGGCAUGCCUAAUACAUGCAAGUCGAACGAACACUUCGGUGUUAGUGGCGCACGGGUGCGUAACGCGUGGGAAUCUGCCCUUGGGUUCGGAAUAACAGUUGGAAACGACUGCUAAUACCGGAUGAUGACGAAAGUCCAAAGAUUUAUCGCCCAGGGAUGAGCCCGCGUAGGAUUAGCUAGUUGGUGAGGUAAAGGCUCACCAAGGCGACGAUCCUUAGCUGGUCUGAGAGGAUGAUCAGCCACACUGGGACUGAGACACGGCCCAGACUCCUACGGGAGGCAGCAGUAGGGAAUAUGGACAAUGGGCGAAAGCCUGAUCCAGCAAUGCCGCGUGAGUGAUGAAGGCCUUAGGGUUGUAAAGCUCUUUUACCCGAGAUGAUAAUGAACAGUAGUCGGAGAAGUAACGCCCCGGACUAACCGUCCGCGCCAGCGACGCCGC
rnacentral:rRNA from 1 species